GAUGAAGAACGCAGCGAAAUGCGAUAAGUAGUGUGAAUUGCAGAAUUCCGUGAAUCAUCGAACCUUUGAACGCACAUUGCGCCUCCUGGUAGUCCGGGAGGCAUGCCUGUUCGAGCGUCACCAAAUCCAACUCAAGCGGUUUUGCGCUUGGUCGUGGCGGAAGAGUCGGUCUGGUUGCCGUCUCCCCUCCGAAAAUCAACGGCGGAAAGUCACUGGCAGUCAGCGUAGUAGUAUCGUUCGCCGAACAUCCAGUGGCAUUCCUGCCGACGUACCCCCACAAUUCUCGUGAUUGACCUCGGAUCAGGUAGGGAUACCCGCUGAACUUAAGCAUAUCAAUAAGCGGAGGA
rnacentral:misc_RNA from 1 species